AGGGGUGUAGCUCAAUUGGCUAGAGUGUCGGUCUCCAAAACCGAAGGUUGUGGGUUCGAGACCCUCCACCCCUGCCA
rnacentral:tRNA from 3 species